rnacentral:rRNA from 1 species
GACGAACGCUGGCGGCGUGCCUAAUACAUGCAAGUCGAGCGAAGCGGCGGAUGGGUGAGUAACGCGUGGGUAAACGGCCCAAAAGUCUGGGAUACCAGUUGGGAAGUGAUGCUAAUACCGGAUACUAAAGGAUGGACCUGCGAUGCAUUAGCUAGGUGGUAAGGUAACGGCUUACAAAGGCGAGGCUGCAUAGCGGAGUUGAGCGACUGAUCGGCCACAUUGGGACUGAGACACGGCCAAAACGCCUACGUGAGGCAGCGGUAGGGAAUCUUCCACAAUGGACGAAAGUCUGAUGGAGCAACGCCGCGUGAGUGAAGAAGGUUUUCGAAUCGUAAAGCUCUGUUGUUGGUGAAGCGGUAAUCAACCAGAAAGGCACGGCUAACUACGUGCCAGCCGCCGCGGUAAUAC